GGACCUUUCAGACUUUCAAUUUCUUCUUGAUUCAGUUUUGGACCAGGAAUCCUGUCACUCGGCUGCGGGUUCUCUGGACCAUCCCGCCCCUGGCAUGCUUUCCAAAUCUGUAUCCAUGAGUGGCAUCAAUGGCCUCCUAGACUGCUCUAACCCAGCCAGGAAUUUCUCGCGGUUCUCUGCCACUGACCUGAGCCAGCGCUGUAGUCAACUGGAAGGGGGCUCGGGCACCUGGGCAGGCUCCUCCCUGCGCCGGACCUUCAGCUUCCUCUUGGCCAUGACCGGAAAG